AAGGAUCAUUACAGAGUACCGGUGCCCCCUGGGCGCCUGCUCCAACCCGAUGUGUACCCUUCUAAACGUUGCCUCGGCGGGCCGUCGCCCCGCGCGCCGCCGGCCCACAGCUGGAGAGCGCCCGCCGGAGGACACACAAACACUGCUCACGUUGCCAUCUGAGUACAAGUCUUGAAUAAAUCAAAACUUUCAACAACGGAUCUCUUGGUUCUG
rnacentral:misc_RNA from 1 species